GACAGCGGAAAGGGGAAGUUAGUGGGGUGUGCGGCUCAGGCCGGCGUGUGCGGUAAUGCAGGUUCCACAGCUCCUGGUGCUUUUUGGCAGCCAGACUGGCACAGCCCAGGACGAAGCGGAGAGGCUGGGCCGCGAGGCUCGGCGCCGGCGGCUAGGUUGCCGGGUGCAGGCUUUAGACUCUUACUCCGUGGCGAAUCUCAUUCGGGAGCCUCUGGUGAUAUUUGUUUGUGCGACCACAGGCCAAGGAGACCCUCCUGACAACAUGAAGAACUUCUGGAGAUUCAUAUUCCGGAAGAGCCUGCCACCCACCUCCCUCUGUCAGAUGGAUUUUGCUGUCCUAGGCCUCGGAGAUUCCUCAUAUGCCAAAUUCAACUUUGUGGCCAAGAAGCUACAUCGGAGGCUGCUGCAACUAGGGGGCAGUGCUCUCCUGCCCCCAUGUCUAGGUGAUGACCAGCACGAGCUGGGGCCUGAUGCUGCCAUUGACCCCUGGGUAGGAGACCUUUGGGAGAAGAUAAUGGUUAUGUACCCAGUACCCCUCAAUGUUCCUGAGAUCCCUCAUGGAGUCCCCUUGCCCUCCAAGUUCAUCUUCCAGUUUCUUCAGGAGGUCCCCAGCAUAGGGGCUGAGGAACUGAACAUAGCCAGCUCAGCCCCUGAGACACCCCCAUCAGAGUUACAGCCCUUCUUGGCACCUGUGAUCACCAACCAGAGGGUCACUGGCCCCCAACACUUUCAGGAUGUUCGGCUGAUUGAGUUUGAUAUCACAGACUCAAGUAUCAGUUUUGCUGCUGGUGAUGUUGUAUUAAUUCUGCCCUCUAACUCAGAGGCUCACACUCAGCAGUUCUGCCAAGUGUUGUGCCUGGACCCCAAUCAGUUUUUCACACUUAAGCCACGGGAGCCAGGUGUCCCUUACCCACCAGGGCUGCCUCAGCCCUGCACUGUGUGGCACCUUGUGUCACAGUACUUGGACAUUGCCAGCGUGCCCCGCCGUUCCUUCUUUGAGCUCUUGGCUUGUCUCUCCCCACAUGCGCUGGAGCGGGAGAAGCUGCUGGAAUUCAGCUCUGCCAGAGGUCAAGAAGCGCUCUGGGAGUACUGUAAUCGGCCCCGCAGAACCAUCUUGGAGGUGCUAUGUGACUUCCCACACACAGCGGGUGCCAUUCCUCCAGACUACCUUUUGGACCUAAUCCCUCGGAUCCGCCCACGGGCCUUCUCCAUUGCUUCCUCCCUACUGGCUCAUCCUAGGAGGCUACAAAUCCUUGUGGCUGUGGUACAGUACCAGACUCGCCUGAAGGAGCCCCGCCGUGGCCUCUGCUCCUCCUGGCUAGCGUCCCUGAAUCCUGAGCAAGGACCUGUCCGGGUGCCCCUGUGGGUACGGCCUGGGAGCCUAGCGUUCCCAGAAACGCCAAACACACCCAUUAUCAUGGUGGGGCCUGGAACUGGUGUGGCCCCCUUCCGAGCAGCCAUUCAAGAACGAGUGGCCCAUGGCCAAACUGGAAACUACUUGUUCUUUGGCUGCCGCCAGCGGGAUCAGGACUUCUAUUGGCAGACGGAAUGGCAGGAGCUAGAGCAGAAGGGCUGCCUGACCCUGGUUACAGCCUUCUCCCGGGAGCAGGAACAGAAGGUAUAUGUGCAGCACCGGCUCCGAGAGCUGGGGCCACUUGUCUGGGAGCUGCUGGAUGGCCAAGGUGCCCACUUCUACCUAGCAGGCAAUGCUAAGUAUAUGCCUAUGGACGUUUCGGAAGCCCUGAUGUCCAUUUUUCAAGAAGAAGGACAACUCUCCACUGCAGAUGCAUCUGCCUACAUUGCCAGGCUCCAGCAGACAUUGCGCUUCCAGACUGAGACCUGGGCCUGAGGAGCCACUUGCUAACUCACACCCACACUAACAGCUGCACUGGGGAACCUGCUGGAGUCUAGAAGGCCCAUUGUUACCUCUUUUUGUUUGUUUGUUUUGUUUUGUUUUGUUUUGUUUUGUUUUUCAAGACAGGGUUUCUCUGUGUAGUCCUGGUUGUCCUGUAAGUCACUCGCCCUGUAGACCAGGCUGGCCUCAAACUCAGAAAUCCACCUGCCUCUGCCUCCCAAGUGCUGGGAUUAAAGGCGUGCGCCACCACUGCCCGGCUCCAUUGUUACCUCUUGCCCUCUAAUUCCAGAACACUAGUUAGAACCACAGUUUAGCUUCUUGGAUCCAGCUGACCAGAAGGCCAGUCCUUGCGUACAGCCAAACUCAGUGGAACCCAGUGUCCCAUAUGUAGUCCCAGCCCCAGUGCAGCCUGCACUCCUGUUUGCCCUCAGUCCCCUUCAUUUCUGCCCUAAAUUUGCAUUAUGGUCCACACCACCAAGAGCCUUAGCCCUCCAAGGGGUGUAGAGCUAUGUGAGGGCUGCACUGCCCCUCUAACCUUGAGCUGUUCCCAUUUGUCCCACAGCACCUGUGCAACUCAGCUCAGUUGAAAAGCCACCAGGGCCCAAGUCUCCUGAGCAUUGAGAAUGGGCAAAUCAUCUGUCUCCAGACCAGACCUAGCCAACACCACUCUUGUCUCAGGAGUUGACAUGCUGCGGGGACCCGAGUGAAGUCCAGUGAGGUCAGCAAGCCAAAGGUGUACCUAGAGGUCAGUGCUCCAGUGAGUGGGUGGAGGCCAAGCUCUGGCUGGCCUCUUACGGGGCCACACUAACCUUUAUAACUUGCAACAAUCUCUGCUGUCACCCUGGAA